GGAUCUGUACUGUAUCAAAGUAUGCAUAUUUUGCUUACCGAAUAGUAUUAAGCAAGGAUUGUUACUCUUAUUCUAACAUGAGAACUAGAAGAACUCACGCAGUAACUGAUCCAAGCCUGCAUCUUGUGAUCCUUUGGUGUACCAUUGCAUCAAAGAGCAAACCAUAAUUUAUGAUACAGAAGUUUGUCAAAUGUUUUCUUAAAAAUAUUUGUACUUAUUAUUUCUAAUCAUGAAGCAAACUUAAAGCUUAUUAUUAUGUUCUUCCCUAGGGUUGUUAUGUUGGCUUUGAUCUAGCACAUGCAGUUGGAAAUGUUGAACUCUACUUACAUGACUGGGGAGUUGAUUUUGCCUGCUGGUGUUCCUACAAGGUACAAACGAGUUAAUACAUUUACAUCCCUUUAUUUCACAUUGACAUUAAUCUGAAGGAGAAACUGGAUCUGUGGGCCAAUUUUAAAGAUUUGAGUUACUUUCCCUAUUUCUUUUAUUGUAUUUUCUGCUUUUAGUUAAUCGAGUUAUAUGAUGGAAUAGUAUGAUAAUUAAUGUAAUUCUAGUAUUUCUAUCAAUAUAGAGAAAUUAAUUCUUCAAUUCCUAGGCUGCUA
rnacentral:lncRNA from 1 species